UUGGGCCUACGGGAGGCAGCAGUGAGGAAUAUUGGUCAAUGGGCGAGAGCCUGAACCAGCCAAGUCGCGUGAGGGAUGACUGCCCUAUGGGUUGUAAACCUCUUUUGUAUGGGGGGAAUAAGCUUUACGAGUAGAGUGAUGACAGUACCAUACGAAUAAGCAUCGGCUAACUCCGUGCCAGCAGCCGCGGUAAUACGGAGGAUGCGAGCGUUAUCCGGAUUUAUUGGGUGUAAAGGGGGCGCAGACGGCAAUGCAAGCCAGGAGUGAAAGCCCGGGGCCCAACCCCGGGACUGCUCUUGGAACUG
rnacentral:rRNA from 1 species